rnacentral:rRNA from 1 species
UACGGAGGGUGCAAGCGUUAAUCGGAAUUACUGGGCGUAAAGCGUGCGUAGGCGGUUUGUUAAGUCUGUUGUGAAAUCCCCGAGCUCAACUUGGGAAUUGCAAUGGAUACUGGCAGGCUGGAGUAUGGUAGAGGAAGGUGGAAUUCCCGGUGUAGCAGUGAAAUGCGUAGAGAUCGGGAGGAACACCAGUGGCGAAGGCGGCCUUCUGGACCAAUACUGACGCUGAGGAGCGAAAGCGUGGGGAGCGAACAGG